UACAGAGGUCUCAAGCGUUGUUCGGAUUCAUUGGGCGUAAAGGGUGCGUAGGUGGUGGGGUAAGUCAGGUGUGAAAUCUCGGGGCUCAACCCCGAAACUGCACUUGAUACUGCCUUACUCGAGUACUGGAGAGGAGAUUGGAAUUUACGGUGUAGCAGUGAAAUGCGUAGAUAUCGGGAGGAACACCAGUGGCGAAGGCGGCCUUCUGGACCAGUACUGACGCUCAUGCACGAAAGCGUGGGGAGCAAACAGG
rnacentral:rRNA from 1 species